rnacentral:misc_RNA from 1 species
GGAAGGGAGUCAAAUGAUUCAGCUCCAUCUUCCAUACAGGUUUUAUCUUCAAACCAAUUCAACUUACCUACCAAAGUGAGAAGUAGGCGUAAAAUAAACACACCAAAACCAUUGGUUGAUAAAGAUACUACGUCUUCUGAGAAUAUUGUAAAUGGCCAAUACAAUAUUGCCAUUCCUUCAUUCAAUGACAAUGUACUCAAUCUUAAGAAAAAGCUUUCUAAUUGUCUUUCCUGGUAUCAAGUUCGGAGGUGGUGUGUUUUUGAAUGGUUCUACAGUGCAAUUGAUUACCCGUGGUUUGCUAAA